UUUUUAGAUUAAAGCUCUACUGUGUCACAGUUAUGCAAUUAAUUGUUGUUUUUCUUAAUAGGGACUUGAAAUGUGGGAGCCAUACCUGUUCUCAGGUUUGCCACCCUCAGCCCUGUCAGCCUUGCCCAAGGCUCCCCCAUUUGGUGCGAUAUUGCCCUUGCGGCCAAACACCUCUCAGCCAGUUGCUGGAACAUGGAAGUAAUGGUCGGAAGACGUGCAUGGAUCCUGUUCCUUCCUGUGGAAAAGUGUGUGGCAAACCCUUGUCCUGUGGGUCCUCAGAUUUCAUCCACACCUGUGAAAAGCUCUGCCAUGAGGGAGACUGUGGGCCGUGCUCGCGCACAUCAGUCAUUUCCUGCAGAUGCUCCUUCAGAACAAAGGAGCUCCCGUGUACCAGUCUUAAAAGUGAAGAUGCUACAUUCAUGUGUGACAAGCGGUGUAACAAGAAACGAUUGUGUGGACGGCAUAAAUGUAACGAGAUCUGCUGUGUGGACAAGGAGCACAAGUGUCCUUUGAUUUGUGGGAGGAAACUCCGUUGUGGCCUUCAUCGGUGUGAAGAACCUUGUCACCGAGGGAACUGUCAGACCUGCUGGCAAGCCAGCUUUGAUGAAUUAACCUGCCAUUGUGGCGCCUCUGUGAUCUACCCACCAGUUCCCUGUGGGACUAGGCCUCCUGAGUGUACCCAGACCUGUGCGAGGAUCCAUGAAUGUGACCAUCCAGUAUAUCAUUCUUGUCAUAGUGAGGAGAAGUGUCCCCCUUGUACUUUCCUAACUCAGAAGUGGUGCAUGGGCAAGCAUGAGGAGCUCACAAUUAAGAAACUUUGGACUUUUAAAGAGACUUUGGACUUUUGAAGUGUUGGAAUUUUUGAAGACUUUGGGGGGCUUUUUUGGAGUUGGACUAUAUUUUAUAUUAAGAUUGUUACCAUGAGAUUUGGGGACAAGAAAUGGAAAGUUAUUGCACAAAGUGACAUAUUUGUUUGUUAAGUUGACAUGAAAUGAAUUGUGCUGGUUUAACUGUCAACUUAACACAACCUAGAAUCACCCAGAAAGAGUCUUAGUGAGGAAUUGCUUAGAUCAGAUUUGGUUUAUGGGUGUGUCUGUGGGGGAUUGUCUUGAUUGUUAAUUGAUGUGGGAAGACAAAGCCCACUGUGAGAGGCACCAUUCCCUAGGCAGAAAAUCCUAAACUGUGUGAACAAAAAAAAUCAAGCUGAGCAGCAAGCAAGCAACAUGCAUGUAUUCAUUUCUCUCUUCCCUUGACUGUGGACAUGAUAAGACUAGCUGCUGGAGUUCCUGCCUUGACCUAAUGCAAUAAUGAGCUGUAACCUGGAAUUGUAAGCCAAAUAAACCCUUUCCUCCUCUA
rnacentral:lncRNA from 1 species